UGCGGUAUGGGGUAAUGGUAGCCCACAGGAUUUUGGUUCCAGUAAUCUUGGUUCGAUUCCAAGUACCGUAGCUA
rnacentral:tRNA from 1 species